rnacentral:sRNA from 1 species
CCUUAGCCCCGAUAGCAGUGAAAAUCCUUUUUUGGGCCGAUUUUUAUUCGGCUCAAAAAAGAUUGCAACGGAUUGCUUCGCCAGUU